GACGAACGCUGGCGGCGUGCCUAAUACAUGCAAGUCGAGCGGAAUCAAUGAGAAGCUUGCUUCUCUGAGAUUUAGCGGCGGACGGGUGAGUAACACGUAGGCAACCUGCCCAUAAGACUGGGAUAACUACCGGAAACGGUAGCUAAUACCAGAUAGGUUCUUCUCUCGCAUGAGAGAAGAAAGAAAGACGGAGCAAUCUGUCACUUAUGGAUGGGCCUGCGGCGCCUUAGCUAGUUGGUGAGGUAAUGGCUCACCAAGUCGACGAUGCGUGGGCGACCUGGGAGGGUGAUCGGCCACACUGGGACUGAGACACGGCCCAGACUCCUACGGGAGGCAGCAGUAGGGAAUCUUCCGCAAUGGACGAAAGUCUGACGGAGCAACGCCGCGUGAGUGAUGAAGGUUUUCGGAUCGUAAAGCUCUGUUGCCAGGGAAGAACGUCCUUGAGAGUAACUGCUCAAGGAGUGACGGUACCUGAGAAGAAAGCCCCGGCUAACUACGUGCCAGCCGCCGCGGUAAUAC
rnacentral:rRNA from 1 species